CGUGCCAGCAGCCGCGGUAAUACGGAGGAUCCAAGCGUUAUCCGGAUUUAUUGGGUUUAAAGGGUGCGUAGGUGGCCUGUUAAGUCAGGGGUGAAAGACGGUAGCUUAACUAUCGCAGUGCCUUUGAUACUGACGGGCUUGAAUGAACUAGAGGUAGGCGGAAUGUGACAAGUAGCGGUGAAAUGCAUAGAUAUGCCACAGAACACCAAUUGCGAAGGCAGCUUACUAUGGUUUUAUUGACACUGAGGCACGAAAGCGUGGGGAUCAAACAGGAUUAGAUACCCUGGUAGUCCACGCCGUAAACGAUGA
rnacentral:rRNA from 1 species